AGCGACUGCGCCGAUACGGUCGAGCGUAGCUGCACACACACAAACACACACACACACACACUUAAAGCACUCGCUCUCAUCCUCUCCAUGUUGGAGAGCGCGUGCUUGUGAGCCGUGCGUACUUUGAUGUCAGCAUACAUAUGUUCAGCAUCUGCUCCUGACGGAGGAAGGUUUAUGUUUUCCUGUUUCUUCUUCGUCUUCCCGUGGUGGUUGGGGAGGGGAGGAGUGGGCAGUGUUGUCUUGUGAGGAGAAAGAUCUCCACAAGCCAUCGAUCGCGUUUAUGUCUUUCGCAUAUGUGUGCUUGCGAACUUACAUCUGGGCGUACUCGUGCCGGCGCAUCAAUGUUCACGGGGGCGGCAUCGGGCUGUGGUGGACGUGGUGGAUGCAUCAUGCGCACGCUCAAACGCAUGGAAACAAAGGGCUUGAGCUUUCCUCUGUAAACUCGACUCGGAGGCAAGCAAGCGGCUAGCCGCCUUUGUCUCUCCGCCCGCCGCCGGCCGGCCACAGUGCAGUGCGGAUCAUCCUUCACCUUGCCGCAUUCUCCUUCCGAAUCUUCUUCUUUCGUUCGGCCUUCCUUGUACGCUUGCGUGUGUCUGUGUGUGCGUGCGUGCUUGUUCGCGGUGCUCCGCACCCUUACCGCUCUCGCCCUUGCCAAUGCCUGCUCUCGCAG
rnacentral:misc_RNA from 1 species